UACGUAGGGUGCGAGCGUUGUCCGGAAUUAUUGGGCGUAAAGAGCUUGUAGGCGGUUUGUCGCGUCUGCUGUGAAAAUCCGGGGCUCAACCCCGGACUUGCAGUGGGUACGGGCAGACUAGAGUGUGGUAGGGGAGACUGGAAUUCCUGGUGUAGCGGUGGAAUGCGCAGAUAUCAGGAGGAACACCGAUGGCGAAGGCAGAUCUCUGGGCCAUUACUGACGCUGAGGAGCGAAAGCAUGGGGAGCGAACAGG
rnacentral:rRNA from 1 species